rnacentral:rRNA from 1 species
AUUGAACGCUGGCGGCAGGCCUAACACAUGCAAGUAGAACGAGUGGCGGACGGGUGAGUAAUGUCUGGGAAACUGCCUGAUGGAGGGGGAUAACUACUGGAAACGGUAGCUAAUACCGCAUACCAUCAGAUGUGCCCAGAUGGGAUUAGCUUGUUGGUGGGGUAACGGCUCACCAGGGAGACGAUCCCUAGCGGGUCUGAGAGGAUGACCAGCCACACUGGAACUGGGAAACGGUCCAGACUCCUACGGAGGGCAGCAGUGGGAAUUAUUGCACAAUGGGCGAAAGCCUAAUGUAGCCAGGCCGCUGAGAUGAGGAAGGCCUUCGGGUUGUAAAGUACUUUCAGCGGGGAGGCGUUACCCGCAGAAGAAGCACCGGCUAACUCCGUGCCAGCAGCCGCGGUAAUAC